GCCAUGGUGGCACAUUGGGCAAGUGCUUGGCUGCUAACCAAAAGGUUGGGAGUUCAAACUCAGCCAGUGGCU
rnacentral:tRNA from 1 species